rnacentral:lncRNA from 1 species
UAAACAUUGGCGAUUCCACACACGAUGACUCUGUUAGGCAAGAACUCCAGUCACUUAAUCAUCUCCUAACACAAGACAACCCCUUUAGUAACGAUUACCAGAACCUAAAUUUCAAUCAUGUUAACUAAACUUAGCAGUACACACACCAAGAACACCAACAACAAUUGAGCCACGCCAAACCGAAAAGUGCCAAAAAUAAAAGAGAGGAAAAGAGAAAGGAAAAUCAGCAAAAAAAAAUCGGCAGGGGAUUGAAAGAUUUGAAAUGUCUAAAGUUUUGGAAAAGAUCUAAAAAAGAAUUGAAAAGAAAAUAAAAAUCCCAAUUGAUAACCCCCCAAAUAAAUAC